AACCAUAGAAACCUGCGGAGUACCUGCGGAAGGAUCAUUACAGAGUUAUCCAACUCCCAAACCCAUGUGAACUUAUCUCUUUGUUGCCUCGGCGCAAGCUACCCGGGACCCCGCGCCCCGGGCGGCCCGCCGGCGGACAAACCAAAACUCUUGUUAUCUUAGUUGAUUCUCUGAGCGUCUUAUUUAAUAAGUCAAAACUUUCAACAACGGAUCU
rnacentral:misc_RNA from 1 species